GACCGCACGGGAUAAUCGAUUAUCCCGUGCGGUCCACUUAACCCGACCGCACGGGAAAAUGAUUAUCCCGUGUGGUU
rnacentral:pre_miRNA from 13 species